rnacentral:rRNA from 1 species
GGGGAAUUUUCCGCAAUGGGCGCAAGCCUGACGGAGCAAUACCGCGUGGGGGAUGAAGGUUUGUGGAUUGUAAACCCCUUUUCUCUAGGAAGAACUCAAUGACGGUACUAGAGGAAUAAGCAUCGGCUAACUCCGUGCCAGCAGCCGCGGUAAGACGGAGGAUGCAAGCGUUAUCCGGAAUUAUUGGGCGUAAAGGGUCCGCAGGUGGCUAUUCAAGUCUGCUUUCAAAGAGUGGAGCUUAACUCCAUAGAGGGAGUGGAAACUGAGUAGCUAGAGUAAGGAAGGGGUAAGAGGAAUUCCCAGUGUAGCGGUGAAAUGCGUAGAUAUUGGGAAGAACACCAGCAGCGAAGGCGUCUUACUGGUCCUUAACUGACACUGAUGGACGAAAGCUAGGGGAGCGAAAGGGAUUAGAUACCCCUGUAGUCA